AGAGUUUGAUCCUGGCUCAGAUUGAACGCUGGCGGCAUGCCUUACACAUGCAAGUCGAACGGUAACGCGGGGCAACCUGGCGACGAGUGGCGAACGGGUGAGUAAUAUAUCGGAACGUGCCCAGUAGUGGGGGGUAGCCCGGCGAAAGCCGGAUUAAUACCGCAUACGACCUACGGGUGAAAGCGGGGGAUCGCAAGGCCUCGCGCUAUUGGAGCGGCCGAUAUCAGAUUAGGUAGUUGGUGGGGUAAAAGCCUACCAAGCCGACGAUCUGUAGCUGGUCUGAGAGGACGACCAGCCACACUGGGACUGAGACACGGCCCAGACUCCUACGGGAGGCAGCAGUGGGGAAUUUUGGACAAUGGGCGCAAGCCUGAUCCAGCCAUGCCGCGUGCGGGAAGAAGGCCUUCGGGUUGUAAACCGCUUUUGUCAGGGAAGAAAUCUUCUGAGUUAAUACCUCGGGAGGAUGACGGUACCUGAAGAAUAAGCACCGGCUAACUACGUGCCAGCAGCCGCGGUAAUACGUAGGGUGCGAGCGUUAAUCGGAAUUACUGGGCGUAAAGCGUGCGCAGGCGGUUAUGCAAGACAGAUGUGAAAUCCCCGGGCUCAACCUGGGAACUGCAUUUGUGACUGCAUGGCUGGAGUGCGGCAGAGGGGGAUG
rnacentral:rRNA from 1 species